rnacentral:rRNA from 1 species
UACGGGGGGGCAAGCGUUGUUCGGAAUUACUGGGCGUAAAGGGCUCGUAGGCGGCCAACUAAGUCAGACGUGAAAUCCCUCGGCUUAACCGGGGAACUGCAUCUGAUACUGGAUGGCUUGAGAUUGGGAGAGGGAUGCGGAAUUCCAGGUGUAGCGGUGAAAUGCGUAGAUAUCUGGAGGAAUACCGGUGGCGAAGGCGGCAUCCUGGACCGACAUUGACGCUGAGGAGCGAAAGCCAGGGGAGCAAACGGG